AGGAUGAACGUUGGCGGCGUGCCUAACACAUGCAAGUUGAGCGUGGCUUUAGUUUACUAAAGUCUAGCAGCGGACGGCUGAGUAAUGCACGGGAACGUACCUCAGAGUGGGGAAUAGCCCUUCGAAAGAAGGGGUAAUACCGCAUACGCUCGUAAGAGUAAAGCCGCAAGGCGCUUUGAGAACGGCCUGUGUCCUAUCAGGUAGUUGGUGGGGUAAUUGCCUACCAAGCCUAUGACGGGUAACUGGUCUGAGAGGAUGAUCAGUCAGAUCGGGACUGAGACACGGCCCGAACUCCUACGGGAGGCAGCAGUUGGAAUCUUGCGCAAUGGACGAAAGUCUGACGCAGCGACGCCGCGUGGAGGAUGAAGGCCCUAGGGUCGUAAACUCCUUUUGCGGAGGAGUAAUUUUUUGAAAGUACUUCGCGAAUAAGCACCGGCUAACUCCGUGCCAGCAGCCGC
rnacentral:rRNA from 1 species